rnacentral:rRNA from 1 species
GGGUCAGUAGGUUGGUCGUGCCACCGGUACGUACUGGUCUCACUGAUUCCUCCCUCCUGAAGAACCGUAAUGCCAUUAAUUUGGUGUCGCGGGGAAACAGGACUGUUACUUUGAAAAAAUUAGAGUGUUUAAAGCAAGCUAACGCUUGAAUACAUUAGCAUGGAAUAAUGAAAUAGGACGAUCGAUCCUAUUUUGUUGGUUUCUAGGAUUGACGUA